GACGAACGCUGGCGGCGUGCUUAACACAUGCAAGUCGAACGAAGUGGCGAACGGGUGAGUAAUACGUGGGUAACCUGCCCUCCUUGUUGGGAUAAGCCUUGGAAACGGGGUCUAAUACCGAAUAAAGGGGGCUGGGCUCGCGGCCUAUCAGCUUGUUGGUGGGGUGAUGGCCUACCAAGGCGGGGACGGGUAGCCGGCCUGAGAGGGUGAACGGCGACAUUGGGACUGAGAUACGGCCUAGACGCCUACGGGAGGCAGCAUUGGGGGAUAUGGGACAAUGGGCGAAAGCGUGAUGCAGCGACGCUGCGUGGGGGAUGAAGGCUUUCGGGUUGUAAACCUCUGUCGCUAUCGAUCGGGUAGGUGGAGAAGAAGCGCCGGCUAACUACGUGCCAGCAGCCGCGGUAAUAC
rnacentral:rRNA from 1 species